GACGAACCGUGCGAACGUUGUUCGGAUUCACUGGGCUUAAAGGGCGCGUAGGCGGGUGGUCUUGUCAGGGGUGAAAUCGUUCGGCUCAACCGGACCAGUGCCCCUGAAACGGGCCACCUCGAGGGAGGUAGGGGCAUGUGGAACUUCCGGUGGAGCGGUGAAAUGCGUAGAUAUCGUAAGGAAGACCAGUGGCGAAGGCGAGUCUCUGGACAGUUACUGACACUGAGGCACGAAGGCCAGGGGAGCAAACGGG
rnacentral:rRNA from 1 species